GUGCAAAUGUAGGAGCCAACCAAACUUGCCUGGCCCUACCCACAAUGACCUGGAAGGCAGGAACUUCUGUCAGAUUCAGGCCUUUAUUGCUGAAGUGUGAUCAGUGCAAGCCGAACUGGUUAAGAACAUUUCUUCCGAGCAGAGCUGAUAAGCGAGUGUAUGGCAGAGAAUCAGAUGGUGUGCCAGUCUCAAGGUUUCUGAUUGACUUGGGCAAUUUGGUGGAGACAAUAAUGAAUUCCAGGUGACUCUAGUGGAAUAUUUGUUCAACUGAAAGUGGAAACAUAAAAUGUUGGUGGAGUGAACAGUGAUUCUAGUGAUUUCUUUCUUCCUUUCUUUUUUUU
rnacentral:lncRNA from 1 species